rnacentral:rRNA from 1 species
UGGGGAAUUUUGGACAAUGGGCGAAAGCCUGAUCCAGCAAUGCCGCGUGUGUGAAGAAGGCCUCGGGUUGUAAAGCACUUUUGUCCGGAAAGAAAUCCUUGGCUCUAAUACAGUCGGGGGAUGACGGUACCGGAAGAAUAAGCACCGGCUAACUACGUGCCAGCAGCCGCGGUAAUACGUAGGGUGCAAGCGUUAAUCGGAAUUACUGGGCGUAAAGCGUGCGCAGGCGGUUUGCUAAGACCGAUGUGAAAUCCCCGGGCUCAACCUGGGAACUGCAUUGGUGACUGGCAGGCUAGAGUAUGGCAGAGGGGGGUAGAAUUCCACGUGUAGCAGUGAAAUGCGUAGAGAUGUGGAGGAAUACCGAUGGCGAAGGCAGCCCCCUGGGCCAAUACUGACGCUCAUGCACGAAAGCGUGGGGAGCAAACAGGAUUAGAUACCCUGGUAGUCCACGCCCUAAACGAUGUCAACUAGUUGUUGGGGAUUCAUUUCCUUAGUAACGUAGCUAACGCGUGAAGUUGACCGCCUGGGGAGUACGGUCGCAAGAUUAAAACUUAAAUGAAUUGACGGGGUCAUAGCUGUUUCCU